GACGUAGGGCGCGAGCGUUGUCCGGAUUUAUUGGGCGUAAAGAGCUCGUAGGCGGCUUGUCGCGUCGUCUGUGAAAUCCCGCGGCUCAACCGCGGGUCUGCAGUCGAUACGGGCAGGCUAGAGUUCGGUAGGGGAGACUGGAAUUCCUGGUGUAGCGGUGGAAUGCGUAGAGAUCCGGAAGAACACCGGAGGCGAAGGCGGCUUGCUGGGCAUUGUCUGACGCUGAGGCGCGAAAGCGUGGGGAGCGAACAGG
rnacentral:rRNA from 1 species